rnacentral:lncRNA from 1 species
CUCAUUUUUAUAGGCAGGAAACACGCCCACAGAGAAGCAGAGUCUGAGGUAGAGAUUCAGGUGCACAUGGUAAGUGCUCUUCAGGAAACACCUGUGAGGUGUCAAGUAUCUUUUCCAACCACAAUGGUAUGAAACUAGAAAUUAGUAACAGGAGAAAACUGGAAAAUUCACAAAUAUGUGGAAAUUAGACAAUACACUUCUGAACAACGAAUGGGUGAAAGAAGAAAUCAAAAGGGAUAUCAAAAAAUAUCUUGAAACAAACAAAAAUGAAAACACAACACAUCAAAACUUAUGGGAUGCAGCAAAAGCAGUCCUAAGAGGUAAGUUCUUAGUGAUAAAUGACUGCAUUAAGAAAAAAGAAAAAUCUUAAAUAAACAACUUAACUUUACACCUCCAGGAACUAGAAAAAGGAGAACACACUAAGCUCAAAGUUAGAAGAAAGAAAGAAAGAACAAAGAUCAGAGCAGAAAUAAAUGAAAUCGAGACCAGAAAAACAAUACAAAAGAUCAACAAAACUAAGAGUUGGUUUUUUAAAAAGAUAAACAGAACUGACAAAGCUUUAGCUAGACUAAACAAGAAAAAAAGGGAGAAGACAAAAUCAGAAGUGAAAGAGGAGAUGUUACAACUGAUGGCACAGAAAUACAAAGGAUCAUAAGAAACUGCUACAAAUAAUUAUAUGCCAACAAAUUGGAUAAUCUAGAAGAAAUGGAUGCAUUCCCAGAAACAUACAACCUAACAAGACUGAAUCAAGAAGAAACAGAAAAUCUGAACAGACCAAUAAUAAGGAGAUCGAAUCAGUAAUCAAAAAUCUCCCAACAAAGAAAAGCCUAAGACCAGAUAACUUUACUAAAUUCUACCAAACAUUUAAAGAAUUAAUACCAAUCCUUCUCAAACUCUGCCAAAAAACUGAAGUGGAGGGAAUACUUCCAAACUCAUUUCACAAGGUCAGCAUUACCAUGAGCCAGACAAGAACACUACAAGAAAACAAAACUAGAGUUCAAAAUCCCUGAUGAACAUAGAUGCAAAAACCCUCAACGAAAUACCAGCAAACCAAAUUUAACAGCACCUUAAAAGGAUUGUACACCAUGAUCAAGUGGGAUUUAUCCCUGGGAUGCAAGCAUGGUUCAAUAGAUGCAAACCAAUAAAUGUGAUAUAGCGCAUUAACAGAAUGAAGGAUUAAAAUCAUAUGACCAUCUCAAUAGAUGCAGAAAUUCAACGUUCUUUCAUGAUACAAACUCUCAAUAAAUUAGAUAUAAAGGAAUGUGCCUGAACAUAAUAAAGGCUAU